AUUACAUAACCUAAGAACCACAAAACAAAUAGUAAUCUGAAACUCAAAACAAUACUAUACUUGAUGCAUUCUAAAGAGUGAAUAACCGAUGCAUACUACAUUGGUACUAUCCAAAUAUCCUCUGUGCAUGAGCUAAAAUGGGAGACUUACAGCUUAAAGAAUAGUGGACUUUGGGUGGGUGUUGACAUUGCAAUUGCCCUGGUAUUGAAUUUUGGGUAUUGAUAUCCUGAAGCAUGAUAUGGGUAGCCAUCACAGCACAAAAGAUAAAAGAUUUUUGUCACAUGGAUACAAAAUAUAGAACCGCAAAAUAAGAGUUUAUAAUGCGCAGGGAGACGGUGCACGCCAACUGUUCUACAAAUGUCUCAAAGAUGAAGACAUCAGGGUGUUUACAGAUUCAAGAAUUUACAUAACGUAGUGGGAUAAAAGGAAAAAUAAGUAUUUAUCUGCCGACAUAGUGAAAGGCUAGCAAUUAUAUUUGGUUUGGACAACGUUAUUGGUGAUGCUAAGCAACACAAUCUAAUAGGCUUUCAUUAUCAUAAUGUGCGCUCUAUCAUAUAUUCAGUAUGCCCAUCAAUUCAUAGUGAAUGUAUGCCCAUCAAUUCAUAUAUUCAGUAGGCUUUCAUUAUCAUAUAGUGAAUGUAUUCCCAUCAAUUCAUAGGAAAAAGAAUUAUUUCGUCAGAUGUCGUGGUUACAAUUUCCCUUGUAGAUAUGCAUGCGGAAUUUGGAGGCAAAGAUAAUGGCGUGUGAAUCGUUUGGCAAAUGUUUCAAAGGAAUGCUGAGGAGAGGAAACGAAGCUGAAUUGUUUGACAGAAUGCCUAAUCAAUGAAUUGUUUAGUCAAA